UGUUCAAAACCGAAAAAUAACAUAUAUCUUAAAUCUUACCACUAACGGUGGUAGCAUACUUCCCUGACAGCUUACUGUAUGAAUCAAAGUUAACCUAAUUUUUGAGAAACCACAAUUAGAUUUAUUACAUUGAAUGACGUCUGUAGCAAUGAUGAUAGGUGUUCUAACCAACGAUGUUCAUCGCCUACAGCCGACGCUCUACUACAAAGACACCAAUCAUUUGAAAUUGAUAAACUGACGAGUAUUAUAAUUUUGUCCAAAUUAUUGGUACCUUUAACAGAAUGGUAGCUCUGUGGUCCAAGAAUAUACAACCCCAAGAAAUAUAUGUGACACUGAGACACAUGAAUUCAGAUACGUGGAAUGGUGAAAAGACAAAACUUAUUUCACCAAAUUGUAAUUAGAAGGUUUAAGGAAAGAUAAUCUAGCUAUUCAUAUUUCAUAUGCAUGAAGUAUAAAUACCUAAAUAAUGGCAUUCUGGAAUGGGGAAGAACUAUA